rnacentral:rRNA from 1 species
UACGAAGGGGCUAGCGUUGCUCGGAAUCACUGGGCGUAAAGCGCACGUAGGCGGCUUUCUAAGUCAGGGUGAAAUCCUGGAGCUCAACUCCAGAACUGCCCUUGAUACUGGAGAGCUUGAGUUCGGGAGAGGUGAGUGGAACUGCGAGUGUAGAGGUGAAAUUCGUAGAUAUUCGCAAGAACACCAGUGGCGAAGGCGGCUCACUGGCCCGAUACUGACGCUGAGGUGCGAAAGCGUGGGAGCA